rfam:Schistosoma mattheei strain Denwood, Zambia genome assembly, scaffold: SMTD_scaffold0016499
AUUCAGCUGACGAGUCCCAAAUAGAAUGAAACGCAAAUCCUGCAU